rnacentral:lncRNA from 1 species
UUCUCUGAUAAGCUGUAUUUAGAGGGCAUUUGGGCACAUACAUCCUGAGCUCUAGGAGCCAGGCAUUGUGCUAUUAGCUGUGGAUAUUAUAGCACAGAUUUUUCAUCUUCCAGGAGCUUAUAGUAAACAGGUAAUUUUAGUGUAAUAUAAAGCUGUUGAGAUGACGGUAAGUUCAGGGAGCUCUAAGAGGAUAGAUGGAUGCCUAACCCAGUUUAGAGGGAUGGGAGGUGUUUCCAGGAAGAGGUUGCAUGAAAGGCUUAUAAAGUAAUGGGUAAAACCACAGGUCUGAUUCCAGAACUUACCUCGGGUAAGUUCUUUACUUGCUCUUUCUCUUUCUUUUUUUUUGAUAGAGGGUCUCACUCUGUUGCCCCAGCUGGAGUACAGUGUUGUGAACAGGGCUUACUGCAGCCUCGACCUCGUGGGCUCAGAUAAUCUUCCUGCCUCAGGCUUCUGAGUAGCUGGGACCACAGGUGCACACCACCACACCUGACUAAUUAAAAAAAAUUUUUUUUGUAGAGAUAGAGUCUCACCAUGUUGCCUAGGCUGGUCUUGAAUUCCUGGGCUGAAGCAAUCCUCUCGCUUUGGCCUCCCAAAGUGCUGGGAUUACAGGUGUUAGCCGCUGUGCCUGGCCAAGUUCCUUACUCUAAGCUCCAGUUUCUAUAAAAUGAGAAUGACAAAAACUACCUCUUAGGUUGUUGUGAGGAGAAAACUAAGAAAUUCAUGUCAAGGACUUGGUACAUAGUAAAGGUUAAGUAAAUGGCAGCAGCUAUGUUUACUUACUACACAUUAGGUUUUCUUUUUUCUUAUCACCUUUAAGUAAACCUGAGGGAUGAUGAGCAGCCAGCUAAACAAGGGUAGAGAGGGUUAAUGGGAAAGGCAUUCUAGAAAAAGCUUUAAGACUUAUUUUUUAGAAAUGUAUUUGGCUUAUGAUUUUCUUGCUUCCCUACAUUUAUCUAGAUAAAAAGAAUUUCAGUAGGAAUUCAUCAUUAACCUAACUUUUAAGAUAAAUUUUACUCAAAGUGGGCAGGAAGUUUGAAAGUUUUUAAAAGGCUUGUUCUUCCUUAGACAUGCUGAAAUAAGUGUGACUAAAGGAGGAUGUUAUUUCCAUAUUUAUGACUACUAGGUCUUAGUUAUAAGUAUUUUAAAGAACACUUGUAGGAAAUCAUGAAAAUUUCAUGCCAGCAACAAAAACAUUAAGUGUUAGAAUAAAAAGCAGAUUUUCUUUGUGGUGAUUUGUUUGUAUUUUUGAAGCAAACUAGGGUUACCUGUUACCUGUUUGUCACAUGCUACUUAAAUUUUUAUUUCCUUCUCCAACAAAUUGUUUACUAUUAACUAGUAAUCUUAGUAACAAAAAUGCCUUCUUAAAUGGUCAUAUCUUCAAGGAAAGGACUUUUUUAAAACCGCUAUCAAUAUUAUGAUUAAUAGAUUUGUUCUUUAAAAUUUAAGACUGGGUAUUUAAUCUGUGUGGUUAAGGAAUCUGUCCUUUUUUUUUUUUUUGAGACAGUCUCGCUGUGUCGCCUAGGUUGGAGUGCAGUGGUGCAAUCUUGGCUCACUGUAACCUCUGCCUCCCGAGUUCAAGCGAUUCUCCUGCCUCAGCCUUCUGAGUAGCUGGGACUACAGGCAUGUGCCACCACACAUGGCUAAUUUUUUGUAUUUUAAAUAGAGACAGGGUUUUUACCAUGUUGGCCAGGCUGGUCUCAAACUCCUGGCCUCAAGUGAUCCACCCACCUCAGCCUCCCAAAGUGCUGGGAUUACAGGUGUGAGCCACCACACCUGGCCUCAUCCUAUUUUUAAAAUAAAAUAAUUUAUUUAGAAUUCAAAGAAAGAGUCUUAACAAC